AGGACGCGUUUUUGUCCUUUACAGCACCUAACGCGCUUAUGCCCUGGCCCUUCUCUGGAAAGGGAGGCGUGUCCUGUGAUCGGGGAGCCCUGACUCAGUCACCCUGGGCCAUUUGCUCCAAGUGGCCUCUUCACACCUGACUGGCAGCACUGUUGGAGCCCCUCACUCCUCACUCGGGGAAUUUGCGUUAUCUUCUCCAGCUCCAUUUCCCACCGGCUCUUGUCGAAGAAGGAGUGGUGCUUGAGGGUGCUACAGGCUGCCAGCUCUCCACCGAUGUAGCAUGCACUCAACUGCCGGCGAGUGAGGCAGAGGCUCUUCCCACAGAACGAGGUGGAAAAAUCAAAGACUGCGUGCGGAGAGGGGGUGGGGCCAGAAAGACGUGCGCUGCAAUUGAGAGAGCCAGGAAGGGUCGAACGUCCUUUCUGACUCUGAAAAGGAAACGCGUUGCCACCCACGUUCCAGACGGGUGGGAGAGGGCGGAGGACAGGCCCUGGGACACUAUUAUGAGCAGUGGCCACUUGGUGACACUUGUCCAGCCAGAGAGGCUGAGAGAUGGAGAGAAACCCCAAGCCAAGGGAUGAUUCCUCUUUCCUGCCUUAAUCUAAAGAUGGUUUCUUACGGUCUGGCUGUGAAACGUCCCCUCUGGGCUCAUGCAAUUGAACCUUUGGUCCAGCAGGUGGUGCUGUUCCGGGAGGCUGUUGAAACUAGGGGUCUGGCUGGCCGAUUUGGGGCUAUGUGGGGUUCAAGGGUAAGAGGCUGGCUUGACUUCUGGUAGGUAGAAUGCUGUUUGCCUGCCUCGAUCAUGUGCCUGGCUGCCUUGGCCUCUGUGUCUUCCCCAUCACCGAGCUGUGAGCGGACAUAACCUCUUCUCGGCUAACUUGCUUCUUCAGGAAUUCUGUCCCAGCCAGAGUAGACACCCAAUACAAAUGUGUUCACUGCUUUCAAGUUACCACGCAUCUUCCUUGUCGGAAAAACGUGUCUGGCGCCACUAAACACUCCCUACACGUUGUGUUCCUUGCAAAUCACUUCAUUUUACCUUCAGAUACAUUUUGAACAGAACAGCUGGUAGAGCAUGCAACACUCAGCGGUCUCCUCCAAGGUGCUGAGCCAAGGUCAGACCACAGGGCUGCUCAGCCGGGAUGCUAAUGAUGUCAUGUGUAGAAACCGUUUACCUAUGACAGCCACCAAAAAAAACUCCUGUGAGUUCCAAAGAUGAUAUCAUACACAGGUCUCAAUCACAGGGCCUUCACAUGGAGAGACAAUUCUCAAAAAUAAACCCAGACCAGUUAUUUGUCUAUUGCCUACAUUCCAUUCCUUCUCAGGUUUGACACUCCAGGUUUUUUAUACUCUGGCCUCAUGCCCAGCACCACAUAAUGAAUCGUGACAAGCCCCUCCUCACUUUCCCAAGAACUCUUACAAUAGCAGUGGCUGUGCGAUUCAUUUCUAGCCAAUGGGACCUAAAGAAGGCAUCUGGGGAAAGUUUUGCUUUUCUUACUAAAGUGAAAACAGACGCGGUUACUUCUACUCCCCAGUUCUUUUCUUUCUGCUUUGACUACAGACAUAAAAUAUGGAGCGUGUGGCCGCUAUGUUGGAAACAUGAGAUUAAGCAAGCCUUAGUUCACUCGGAUGCUAAGCAGAUGCCACACGCUGAUGGGUUACAAAUGACAGGAAUUGAUCUCCUGUGGUUCUGGGGAUGGGGACUUUGGAGAUCAGGGUGUCAGCAGGUUCAGCGGGCGUCUGGCUAGGGGCCACUUCCUGUGUUGUAGACAGCUACAUUCUAGCUGUGGGAAGGGAGAGGGAACUCUCUGUAGCCAUUUCCUUAAGGCCACUAAUCUCAUUCGUGAGGGCUGCACCCAUAACCCAGCAUCCUUUCAAACAUUCCACUUCCUAUGGCUAUCAAACUUAGGGUGUCUUGGCAUAUGAAUCUGGGGGAGACACAAACAUACUACGUGUACGUAGUCACCCUCAAUAUGUUCUAUUGAUGGUGGUUUAGUCAGUACUAACUUCAAAAUUGGAAAAUAUGACCUAGAAUUUACAUGGUACGAUCAUAUAUAGAUAUCACAGGAUUCCAUAAUAACGUCAGGUGGGGAUAGCUUGGUAUGUUGUGAAUCCUACAAGAUGACUUAGUUUGCAUCAAGGCUAAUGGUGUCUGUUACCCCAGUGGGUACCCACUGGCAGAUCUCUUUUACCUCAGGACAUUCUGUAAGGCUUCUGUGGUGGUUUGAAUAGGCUUGGCCCACAGGGAGUGGUACUGUUAGGAGGUGUGGUGUUGUUAGAGGAAGUCUGUCUCUGUGGGAUUGGUCAGGCUCCACCCAUUGCAGAGGAGAGCAUCCUCCUAGUUGACUGAGGGUGCCAGUCUCUCCUGGCUGCAAGUGGAUUAGGAUGCAGAACUCUCAGCUCUUUCUCCAGCAUCGUGUCUGCCCGGAUGCUGCCACACUUCCUGUCGUGAUGAUAAUGGACUGAACCUCUGAAACUAUAAGCCAGCCCCAAUUAAAUAUUGUCCCUUCUAAGAGUUGCUUUGGUCACGGUGUCUCUUUGUAGCAAUGGAAACGCUAACUAAGACAGCAUCCUUCCAUGCUAGAGCAGGUCCUGCCUCCCUGCCUGUCCAAAGACAGUUUGGUGUCAGGUGCCAGUGAGCUGCUUUGAUGCUUUAGAUGGUGUGACAUUCUUUUCUCCACUACAAUGCUGCAGAAGCCAGAUGAACCCAGCACGUCUGGGAGCCAGACGGCCUUCCCCUCUCUUCUCUCCUUACUACCACCUUAAGAACUCCAGUCAUUUCCGUGUCUCCAACUGGGUGAUAUAAUAAGACGAGGUGUUGUGGACAGUGGAGCAGGCAUGGUGAUCAUUCUAUAUGUCCACUUGACAGGCCUCGUAGUGUCCAGUCAGCAUUCUUCCAGUGUAUUUAUGAGGAUGAUUGGCUUUUGAACUGGGGAACUGAGUAAGGCAGAUGGCUCUCCCCAGUUGAGUGACCAUCAGCCCGCCCACUGGAGCCUGAACAGAACAAGCAGUGACAAAGUAAAAAUAUGUCCUUGUUUUUCUGCAUAAGCGGAGACAUCUCAUCCGGUUUCUCUUGCUCUCAGAACUUAUAUCAUCGUUCUUGAAUUCUCAGGUUUUCAGACUCUGGCUGAACAGCAACAGUCGCUGGCAUUUCUCUGGCAUGUGGAGAGGUUACGACACUUCUCAGCCUCCAUCACUAUGUAAACAGAUUCCGGUGUGGAAAAGGGUAUGAGAUCAUGGGUGCGCAGUGCAGACGGCUGCCUUCAUCCUUCAGCCCAGUAUGUUCUGCACCCUGUGGGUGUCUGUGUUCUAACUGACUCUUCUUAGAAGGUCAGCUGUCAUAUCAGACUAUACAGCUCAUCGAAAGUCCUCAGUUUAAAAGAAAAUUCCUCUUUAAAGACAUGUUAGGGGCUGGAGAGAUGGCUCAGCGGUUAAGAGCACCCGACUGCUCUUCCAGAGGUCAUGAGUUCAAUUCCCAGCAACCACAUGGUGGCUCACAACCAUCUGUAAAGAGAUCCGAUGCCCUCUUCUGGUGUAUCUGAAGACAGCUACAGUGUACUCAUAUAUAAUAAAUAAUAAAUCUUUAAAAUAAAAAAAAAA